AGCAGGCGCAUGCGCGGGUCACGUGGCGGAAAUGUGGCCUCUCGCCAACAGGGAUCGCGCCUCAAGCCGGAAGUUGAUAUGGUUGCCUAAGAGACCGGACGUGGCUCUCUAGCCUAGGCAUCAUACUUAGCUGAGCCCACAGAGGCUGCCGGACUUGCGCCCCAUGGCGGAGCGAGCUGAAGCUGCAGCCUGGGACCAGAGAAUCAAGAGGUAAAAAUGCGCCAAACCACUAUGAGGAAAAUGGGCCAAGAAUUGCACCGUAGCUCCUCGCGCCGGCUCCCCGGUCUCCUGGGGAGGGGAGGGAGCCUGAAGAUCUGGUCCUUAUACAGCUUUCUGAAAUCCCUGAGAUCUGUCGAUGAGUUGCUCAUCUUUCACUCCACAAGUAUUUGUUGAACGUCAUUCUCAUCACCAUUAGCUCCCUUUUGAUGAAGCAGGAGUUGAUUCAGCUGUGCUUUUAGCUGGGCUUUCAGCUGGACACGGAAAGCGGAGGUAGAUGAAUUGUCAUGAUCAAGUGGGUGUCAUCAGUUUCAGAUUAUCUUUUUCCCUAAAAUCAGCCAAAUUUUGAAGGAAAAAAAAACAUUGUAGAGGUCUUUACAGAGACAGGGUCCUGCUCAGUUGAACAGGCUAGAGUACAGCAGCAUAGCUCACUGCAGCCUCCAUCUCUCAGGCUCAAGCAAUCCUUCCACUACCUCAGCUUCUGAGUAGCUGGGGCUACAGUGGUUUUACUGAUCUCUCUUUGCUUCUUACUAUGGAUCCAUGGGAUAAAACAAAGCACAGCACCUCCAAUAAGGGGAGGGACUCCAGCGAGGUAGAAUGCCACGUCAUAGGAGCCCAGCUUGUCACGAAGUAACCCUGAGAAGGGAAAAAGCUGUCACCAACGGAGAACAAGUGUGGCUCUGUAGGGGGUCUAGAUUAGUCACAGGGAUGGCCUAGUCCCAGCCUAAUUUCACCUCCACAGGACUGGUUCAAACAGCUCAGAUAUCGGACUUUUUUUUUUUUUUUUUAAGGAAACAGAUCUGAAAUAUAAACCUUUAUUGAUAGAAAAAAAAGAUCUCAUAUAUGUAACGUUGUCAUAAAGUACAGGCCUCUGGAUUUUCAUACCAAGACAUUACUUGAAAAGCUGGAAAGGCAGAUUUUUUUUUUUUUUUUUUUGAGACAGGGUCUCACUGUGUCACCCAGGCUGGAGUAUGGUGGCAUAAUCAUGGCUCACUGCAGGCCUUGACUUCCCAAGCUCAACUGAUCCUCCCAGCUCAGCCUCUUGAGUAGCUGGGACUACAGGUGCAUGCUACCAUGCCUGGCUAAUUUUUAUAUUUUUUGUAGAGAUGGGGUUUUGUCACAUUGCCCAGGCUGGUCUCAAGCUCCUGGGCUAAAGCAAUCCUCCCACCUCAGCCACCCAAAAUGCUGGGAUUACAAGCAUGAACCACCAUGCCCAGCUUUCAAACUACUCUUUGGUCUAUUUGGUUUUUAUGAAAUAACAUGAAACUAUUUAACAUUAUAAUUCAAAAUUGAGAAAAAUUGUAAAUUUAAUAAUGUGGAUGAAAGUUAGGUUGUUAAAUACAUUUUGGAAAGAGACUAAGGUUUAUCAGUACCUGGAAGAAAAUAUAAAUAUAUAAGAAUUAUUAAUGGCAUUCUAUAUUUGGGUUCUGCUUCUGAAAACUAUUAUUUAGGGUACUCAACAUUUCCAAUUUCUCUAACAAAUUCCAGGACUCAUGGUUUUAAAAGUUAUCUUAGUGUUUUAAAACUUUUAUAACUUAUACAACCUAAGUUAUCUAAAAUGUCCAGGAAACAUACUGUACUAAAUAUCUAUCUGACUUUGCUAAAUAAAUAGCUGACCAUUUGUCUAAGUACCAACACAUAAAAAUGUGUAUAUCCAUUCUGCAUAAAUAAAAUAGACAAUAUCUGUAAAUGCACAAGUUUUCUAUCUUUGGAAUCAGACCAUUUCAUACAUAACUGAACUCUUCCUCCUUAUGAACACUCAUGAUUAUGCUCUGCUGUGACACUAUGAUGCCCUCAGAGCCUCCUGGUGAGCCAGCAGCUUUCUGCUGCCAGUUGCUGUGUAGUGGUGCUCUGCCUGCUUCCGAAGUUUCCUGUUACCUCCCUUAUUCUUGCUCUGUUAACUGUCACUUCUGGUAGCAAAACUAUUUACUACUAGAGUGCUGCUUAUAUAAAAUCUGUUGUGGACUUAGAAACUGUAAAACUAAGCUUGUAGGUUAUAAAAAGAAGAGUAAACAGUAUAUUACCUGCGGGAGAGAAGAAGGAACGGAGGGUUCUCCUAUAGGGAGACCAUGACUUUUUGAACUUAAACUGUAUGUGGUCUGCUCAGUAGUAACUCUGCUUGCUUGAUUCAUGACUAGGAAUGCAGCUCAGGAUAUAAGAAUGCAUUGAGCUAAACCUUCACUGAGCGUCUCAUGUGCCAAACACAGAUGACAGUACAUACAUUUACAUUUUAUCAUAUUUAUAUUGAAUCUUCUAAUACUAAUUGACACAGGCACCCAAGUAAUACUGAACAUGAGACACCUUUAUAGUAUCAUUCAGAGAAUUUCUAGAGGUGGAAUUCACAUGAGAUAGAAUUAACCAUUUGAAAGUGAACAAUUCAGCGGCAUUUAGCACAUACACAAUGUUGUACACCCACCGCUUCUAUUCUAAAAUAUUUUCAUCGUGCCAAAAGGACACUUCAUCCCAAUUAAGUAGUUACUUCCCAAUCCUCUUUCUCUCCAGCCCCUGGCAAUCACCAAUCUGUUUUCUAUCUGUAUUUAUUUACCUAUUUUGGACAUUUCACAUGAAAUAAAUCAUACGAUAUACAGCCUUUUAGAGUGAGACAGGGUCUCACUCUGUCACCCAGGCUGGAGUGCAGUGGUGCUCUCACGGCUCUGCAGACUUGAUCUCCCAGGCGCAAGAGAUUCUCUCAUCUCCACCUCUGGAGUAGGUGAGAUUACACUACUAUUAGUAUGUGCCACCACGCCAGGCUAAUUUUUUUUAUUUUUCGUAGAGACAAGGUCUUGCUAUGUUGCCCAAGCUAGUCUGGAACUCCUGAGCUCAAAUGAUCCUCCUGCCUUGGCCUCUCAAAGUGCUGGGAUUACAGGUGUGAGCCACCAUGCCCAGCCACGUCACCUUCUAUGUCUGGCUUCUUUCACUUAGUAUAAUGUUCUUGAGGUCCAUUCACCUGGUAGCAUCAGUUCUGUACCUUACUCCUUUUUAUGGCUGAAUAAUAUUGCACUAUAGAUAUUCCACAUUUUGCUUACCCAAUUAGCUAUUUAUGGGCAUUUGGGUUUUUUCUAUUAUGUUAUUUUUCAUCAGCUACUCCUCAGGGGGAUGUACGAUCUCUUACCAAAAGCUGACAUAUUUAGAAA